GAGUUUGAUCCUGGCUCAGGAUGAACGCUGGCGGCGUGCUUAACACAUGCAAGUCGAACGAAGCACUUUAUUUGAUUUCCUUCGGGACUGAUUAUUUUGUGACUGAGUGGCGGACGGGUGAGUAACGCGUGGGUAACCUGCCUUGUACAGGGGGAUAACAGUUGGAAACGGCUGCUAAUACCGCAUAAGCGCACAGCAUCGCAUGAUGCAGUGUGAAAAACUCCGGUGGUAUAAGAUGGACCCGCGUUGGAUUAGCUAGUUGGUGAGGUAACGGCCCACCAAGGCGACGAUCCAUAGCCGACCUGAGAGGGUGACCGGCCACAUUGGGACUGAGACACGGCCCAAACUCCUACGGGAGGCAGCAGUGGGGAAUAUUGCACAAUGGGCGAAAGCCUGAUGCAGCGACGCCGCGUGAGCGAAGAAGUAUUUCGGUAUGUAAAGCUCUAUCAGCAGGGAAGAUAAUGAUGGUACCUGACUAAGAAGCACCGGCUAAAUACGUGCCAGCAGCCGCGGUAAUUC
rnacentral:rRNA from 1 species